rnacentral:rRNA from 1 species
AGUGGCGGACGGGUGAGUAACGCGUGGGUAACCUGCCUUGUACUGGGGGAUAACACUUAGAAAUAGGUGCUAAUACCGCAUAAUCAUAAGAUCUCGCAUGAGAAGUUUAUGGAAAACUCCGGUGGUACAAGGAUGGACCCGCGUCUGAUUAGUUAGUUGUGGGGUAAUGGCCUACCAAGACGACGAUCAGUAGCCGGCCUGAGAGGGUGACCGGCCACAUUGGGACUGAGACACGGCCCAAACUCCUACGGGAGGCAGCAGUGGGGAAUAUUGCACAAUGGGGGAAACCCUGAUGCAGCGACGCCGCGUGAGUGAAGAAGUAUUUCGGUACGUAAAGCUCUAUCAGCAGGGAAGAAAAUGACGGUACCUGACUAAGAAGCCCCGGCUAACUACGUGCCAGCCGCGGC